CCUAUCGACCUCGUAUCCCCCCCUUCAUCUUAACUUUAUUUUAUUAUCUUUGAUUUUAUUGCGAACUGGGUUGACCAGAUAAUGUCACGCGUUGUAAACGGAAAAAAAUUACUACGCUUCUGAUUAUUAAUAUUCUUGUCGCAUACGAUGACUUUUCAUCGAGGAUCAAUUUAUACAGCGAUCGGUGUUCUGCGCGUCUGUCCCGGAUAAGUAUCGGAGCAACAGAAAAUCGCCUCGCUUCUCUUACGAUUUAGCACAAUGUAAUUUGACCUGAGCAUACUGUAAUGUAAUCAUUGAAUGAAAAAGAUAAGAAAAACACCAGGUCGGAAGUACCAGGAAAUGGAGGGGAGGUGGACAAGAAAAGGCUGUCGACAUGAUACGUUCUCAUAUUUCGUUCGCGCGAAUUUAAAAUGAUCGGUCAAAAACAGAGAAAUAUUAGUCAAAUAUCAAUUGCUAUCUAG
rnacentral:misc_RNA from 1 species